UCCAGGUUAGCUCGGUUGGUAGAGCGCUCCACUGGAAAAGGAGAGGUUUCUGGUUAGAUACCAGGACGAGGCG
rnacentral:tRNA from 1 species